rnacentral:rRNA from 1 species
AUUGAACGCUGGCGGCAUGCUUUACACAUGCAAGUCGAACGGUAACAGGCCGCCAGGUGCUGACGAGUGGCGAACGGGUGAGUAAUGCAUCGGAACGUGCCCAGUCGUGGGGGAUAACUACUCGCAAGAGUAGCUAAUACCGCAUACGAUCUAUGGAUGAAAGCGGGGGACCGUAAGGCCUCGCGCGAUUCGAGCGGCCGAUGUCAGAUUAGGUAGUUGGUGGGGUAAAGGCUCACCAAGCCAACGAUCUGUAGCUGGUCUGAGAGGACGACCAGCCACACUGGGACUGAGACACGGCCCAGACUCCUACGGGAGGCAGCAGUGGGGAAUUUUGGACAAUGGGCGCAAGCCUGAUCCAGCAAUGCCGCGUGCAGGAAGAAGGCAUUCGGGUUGUAAACUGCUUUUGUACGGAACGAAAAGGCUCUGGUUAAUACCCGGGGCUAAUGACGGUACCGGAAGAAUAAGCACCGGCUAACUACGUG